rnacentral:lncRNA from 1 species
GUGCUGCUUUUGUUGGCUUCGCAAAUGGGCAGGGGAAAGAAAAAAGAUUGUUUGAUUAAACUUUGGAGAUCAACGAAUUAAAGCCCGUGCCUGUUCUGGUGUGAAGGACCUGCAGGGAUGCUCCUCAGCUGCGGUGCAGAGCUGAAUGCGCCCGUCCUCUGCGUGGGAGAUGCAGACCUGGCCUUGCAACCAGGGGAGGAAAACACCUACGUGGAACAAUGUAAAGCAGGUGAAGCAGAAGCUGAUGCAGGAAUGCUCUUGGGGAAGAAGAGUUGGUGCAGGUCCGAUGCUGGCCUCUGGCUGAUGGUUUCCUUGGGGUAUCUAAAGGCAGUAGCUGUGGUGGUGCGAGUACCAGCACGGUGGUGUGGCUGCAGGAGCCGUCACCAGCAGGGAGCCCUGAGCUGUGAGCCCUGCUUGCUCCUGGCAGACCCCACAUGGACUCUGAGAAAGGGAUAUUUGGGAUUUGUGUGGACAAGCAGGCAGGUGUGCUAA